rnacentral:rRNA from 1 species
GAUGAACGCUGGCGGCGUGCCUAAUACAUGCAAGUCGAACGAAUCUUCUUUAUCACCGAGUGCUUGCACUCACCGAUAAAGAGUUGAGUGGCGAACGGGUGAGUAACACGUGGGCAACCUGCCCAAAAGAGGGGGAUAACACUUGGAAACAGGUGCUAAUACCGCAUAACCAUAGUUACCGCAUGGUAACUAUGUAAAAGGUGGCUAUACUACCGCUUUUGGAUGGGCCCGCGGCGCAUUAGCUAGUUGGUAGGGUAAAGGCUUACCAAGGCAAUGAUGCGUAGCCGAAUUGAGAGGUUGAUCGGCCACAUUGGGACUGAGACACGGCCCAAACUCCUACGGGAGGCAGCAGUAGGGAAUCUUCCACAAUGGGCGAAAGCCUGAUGGAGCAACGCCGCGUGGGUGAAGAAGGUCUUCGGAUCGUAAAACCCUGUUGUUAGAGAAGAAAGUGCGUGAGAGUAACUGUUCACGUUUCGACGGUAUCUAACCAGAAAGCCACGGCUAACUACGUG